rnacentral:rRNA from 1 species
AUUGAACGCUGGCGGCAGGCUUAAAACAUGCAAGUCGAACGAGUGGCGGACGGGUGAGUAAUGCUUGGGAAUCUAGCUUAUGGAGGGGGAUAACUACGGGAAACUGUAGAUAAUACCGCGUACCAUAGGAUGAGCCCAAGUGGGAUUAGGUAGUUGGUGAGGUAACGGCUCACCAAGCCGACGAUCUCUAGCUGGUCUGAGAGGAUGACCAGCCACACUGGGACUGAGACACGGCCCAGACUCCUCAGGGAGGCGGCAGUGGGGAAUAUUGCGCAAUGGGGGCAACCUGACGCAGCCAUGCCGCGUGAAUGAAGAAGGCCUUCGGGUUGUAAAGUUCUUUCGAUAGCAAGGCGUUAACUACAGAAGAAGCACCGGCUAACUCCGUGCCAGCAGCCGCGGUAAUUC